ACUACUGUUGGGAAGGAACGGCCAAUCAGAGCACGGGUUACUGCGUGCGUCAAUAACUUUCAGUUCCGGUUGAACUGAUCGCACAAAGUACCCACCUAGGUCUCGUCAGAAUGCGGACUGAAUUGAACUUUGCUUGGUUGAGGAUGAUAUGUGUUCAAGUUGUGCGUUAAUGACAACAUAAAAUUCAACAUUGGACAUCGGGGAACUGCAGGAAUAGCAGCAUCAUCUACAUCUGCUGUUAGAGAUCCUCACCAGCAGGAGCCGCUAACGGCUGUUAACGAAGACCCAAACAACAGCUAGAGAAUCAUUCAUUCACAAAAAUGGAUUUACAGAAAUAGAGCAAGUUGUAAGUGUAUGUGUGACUAUCAGGGCCAGAAUAUGUGGAAAAGCUGAUGAAGACACACAAGCUGUGUUUACGUUUAAUUCAAUGUCUUCAUGAUUACUUUCCAUGUAGGCUUAUAGAAUAGAAUAUGUAAACUGCUUUCUCUACCACGAACGAGAUUAUAACGCUUUUCCCACCCAAUGCUGAUAUUGAUCAAAUAUUACAUUCGAGGAAGCCAUAAAUUGGUCUUGUUUUUUUUUUAUUUUUAGUUUCCUUAGCUUUAUAUCUAUGUGAUGCAGUAUUUGGGUUUCCCUCAUACAUCACAGCUAAUCCAGAAUUCCCCCGCUGUGGGGACAUAGUAAAACGAUUAACAGACUAAUGGAUUAUUUACCACAGAGAUAUUUGUCACAGUUCCCGUCACUCCCAGACUCCAUCUCCCAUGAUCCUCCCUGGUCCACACCUGCACUCACUUCCUCAUCACCCUUCUGAUCACGGAUUCCCUGCACCUGCACCUGAUCUUCAGCACUCUCUUUAUAUGGACUCUCACUUCCUGCCCUCCUUUGUCUUUUCUUGUUGUUUGCCUAUUCUCGUGUAGAAUGUUUGUUUAAUGGUGUAGUUCUUCUGUUCAAAUGUUAUGUUAGAAGAAUAAACCUAUUGCUGCUGUU